rnacentral:rRNA from 1 species
GAGUUUGAUCCUGGCUCAGGACGAACGCUGGCGGCGUGCUUAACACAUGCAAGUCGAGCGGAAAGGCCCUUCGGGGUACUCGAGCGGCGAACGGGUGAGUAACACGUGAGCAACCUGCCCUUGGCUUUGGGAUAACCCUCGGAAACGGGGGCGUAAUACCGGAUAUGACAUCUGAUCGCAUGGUUGGGUGUGGAAAGUUCUUCGGCCAGGGAUGGGCUCGCGGCCUAUCAGCUUGUUGGUGGGGUGAUGGCCUACCAAGGCUUCGACGGGUAGCCGGCCUGAGAGGGCGACCGGCCACACUGGGACUGAGACACGGCCCAGACUCCUACGGGAGGCAGCAGUGGGGAAUAUUGCACAAUGGGCGAAAGCCUGAUGCAGCGACGCCGCGUGAGGGAUGAC